UACAGAGGUCCCAAGCGUUGUUCGGAUUCAUUGGGCGUAAAGGGUGCGUAGGCGGCGCGGUAAGUCGGGUGUGAAAUCUCGGGGCUUAACUCCGAAACUGCAUUCGAUACUGCCGUGCUUGAGGACUGGAGAGGAGACUGGAAUUUACGGUGUAGCGGUGAAAUGCGUAGAUAUCGUAAGGAAGACCAGUGGCGAAGGCGGGUCUCUGGACGAAUACUGACGCUGAGACUCGAAAGCGUGGGGAGCAAACAGG
rnacentral:rRNA from 1 species